AGAGUUUGAUCCUGGCUCAGAUUGAACGCUGGCGGCAGGCCUAACACAUGCAAGUCGAGCGGAUGAAGAGAGCUUGCUCUCUGAUUCAGCGGCGGACGGGUGAGUAAUGCCUAGGAAUCUGCCUAUUAGUGGGGGACAACGUUUCGAAAGGAACGCUAAUACCGCAUACGUCCUACGGGAGAAAGCAGGGGACCUUCGGGCCUUNCGCUAAUAGAUGAGCCUAGGUCGGAUUAGCUAGUUGGUGAGGUAAUGGCUCACCAAGGCGACGAUCCGUAACUGGUCUGAGAGGAUGAUCAGUCACACUGGAACUGAGACACGGUCCAGACUCCUACGGGAGGCAGCAGUGGGGAAUAUUGGACAAUGGGCGAAAGCCUGAUCCAGCCAUGCCGCGUGUGUGAAGAAGGUCUUCGGAUUGUAAAGCACUUUAAGUUGGGAGGAAGGGCAUUAACCUAAUACGUUAGUGUUUUGACGUUACCGACAGAAUAAGCACCGGCUAACUCUGUGCCAGCAGCCGCGGUAAUACAGAGGGUGCAAGCGUUAAUCGGAAUUACUGGGCGUAAAGCGCGCGUAGGUGGUUUGUUAAGUUGAAUGUGAAAUCCCCNGGCUCAACCUGGGAACUGCAUCCAAAACUGGCAAGCUANAGUAGGGCAGAGGGUGGUGGAAUUUCC
rnacentral:rRNA from 1 species